rnacentral:tRNA from 1 species
CGUGUCACAGUUCAAAUA